UUGUAUAGAUCAUCGUUUAAC
ensembl:piRNA 21ur-4435 ncRNA